rnacentral:sRNA from 1 species
UCCCGGAAUAUGGGCCCGGCCCUGGGAUC